rnacentral:rRNA from 1 species
UGCAGUCGAGCGAACAGAUGAGAAGCUUGCUUCUCUGAUGUUAGCGGCGGACGGGUGAGUAACACGUGGGUAACCUACCUAUAAGACUGGGAUAACUCCGGGAAACCGGGGCUAAUACCUGAUAAUAUUUUGAACCGCAUGGUUCGAUAGUGAAAGGCGGCUUCGGCUGUCACUUAUAGAUGGACCCGCGCCGUAUUAGCUAGUUGGUAAGGUAAUGGCUUACCAAGGCGACGAUACGUAGCCGACCUGAGAGGGUGAUCGGCCACACUGGAACUGAGACACGGUCCAGACUCCUACGGGAGGCAGCAGUAGGGAAUCUUCCGCAAUGGGCGAAAGCCUGACGGAGCAACGCCGCGUGAGUGAUGAAGGUUUUCGGAUCGUAAAACUCUGUUGUUAGGGAAGAACAAAUUUGUUAGUAACUGAACAAGUCUUGACGGUACCUAACCAGAAAGCCACGGCUAACUACGUGCCAGCAGCCGCGGUAAUACGUAGGUGGCAAGCGUUAUCCGGAAUUAUUGGGCGUAAAGCGCGCGUAGGCGGUUUCUUAAGUCUGAUGUGAAAGCCCACGGCUCAACCGUGGAGGGUCAUUGGAAACUGGGGAACUUGAGUGCAGAAGAGGAGAGUGGAAUUCCAUGUGUAGCGGUGAAAUGCGCAGAGAUAUGGAGGAACACCAGUGGCGAAGGCGGCUCUCUGGUCUGUAACUGACGCUGAUGUGCGAAAGCGUGGGGAUCAAACAGGAUUAGAUACCCUGGUAGUCCACGCCGUAAACGAUGAGUGCUAAGU